GUUUGGCGACUGCAACAGUGGCGGCAAACGAGCGGCGGUGGUGGUGUGGCUCGGUGGGUUUCACGGCGGCGACGAGACUAGAGUCCGCCGCGACGGCAGACGAGCGGCGGUGGUGGUGCUUGGUCCGACGAGUUCACGCUCGGGUCAGGUUACGGGUCUCGGGUCAGUCGUGGUUCGGGAGAUUCGGAGUACACCGGGAGACCGCAACCAUCGGAGACGAAUUCGUCUCCGGAGUCGAGUCGGAAGUUCAGUGACUUCUGUUCGUUUUGGGGUCGAGUCAUGGAGUUAAUCAUUUUGUUCGUUCCUUGGAAUUUCUCAAUCUUUACUCGUGCGUUAAUUCAAGAAAUUCUCAUACGCAACCAAGGAUUGUGACAGAUGAAUCUAGUAGGAUUGC
rnacentral:lncRNA from 1 species